CCUACGGGAGGCAGCAGUGAGGAAUAUUGGUCAAUGGACGAGAGUCUGAACCAGCCAAGUAGCGUGAAGGAUGACUGCCCUAUGGGUUGUAAACUUCUUUUAUAUGGGAAUAAAAUGUUCCACGUGUGGGAUUUUGUAUGUACCAUAUGAAUAAGGAUCGGCUAACUCCGUGCCAGCAGCCGCGGUAAUACGGAGGAUCCGAGCGUUAUCCGGAUUGAUUGGGGUUAAAGGGAGCGUAGGUGGAUUGUUAAGUCAGUUGUGAAAGUUUGCGGCUCAACCGUAAAAUUGCAGUUGAAACUGGCAGUCUUGAGUACAGUAGAGGUUGGCGGAAUUCGUGGUGUAGCGGUGAAAUGCUUAGAUAUCACGAAGAACUCCGAUUGCGAAGGCAGCUCACUGGACUGCAACUGACACUGAGGCUCGAAAGUGUGGGUAUCAAACAGGAUUAGAUACCCUUGUAGUC
rnacentral:rRNA from 1 species